GUCUUUUUUAAUGCAGAUUUAAUUUCAUAUGAUGGCUCCUGGUGACUUUACAGCGUGACGUGGCAGGUAUCAAUCAUCUGUAGAAACUAACUACAGGCUACAGAGGUUCACGCAGCCUAGGGUGCUUUUAGGUCACUUGUCAGAGUAGCAUCAGUGUUACACAUCUGAUUUGAAGAACGCACUGACCACUUAAUUAAUUCUGGCAGUUAAAAAAGGUCAUCAGCUCCGUGCAAGUACAUUUCCCAGCAUGAAUGGAAACAAAUGCAUCAAUCAUUUAAAACAAUCAGGUUUAGCUGGCUAUUACAUGCAAAGACCAGUGUGGUCCUGCACUCUGGCUACAAACGGUCGUUCCAGCACAAUCCACAUAACCAACCACCAGAGUUUCAAGAUUUCAGCUGAGAAGGAUGGCAGCUAGAAAUCCUUCCCUGCUUUGUUCCUUCCAGGUUGACACAAGGGAUCAGCAUCAGGCAAGUGAUUAAUACAAUAACAAAGAAGUAUACACAUAGACUUGUAAAGAUUUGGUGUAACCUGUUUACUUGAACAAUAUUAUAAAAUCAAACAUUUUCAAACACUUAAAUGUUUCAUUAUGUGGCCAAAAACGGGAAAAAAGCAAGAUUAAGAUUGUAAGAUUAAGGAAAAAAUACCAUAUCAUUAUUUGAAUUGUGAUGGACAAAUAUAGCAUGGCCAAAGGAUCCAAUGAUGCCCUUUAAAGCUGCAUCCUCUGAGGACUCUCCUAUUUUACAGUAAGACGAGGAAAAGCAGCAGAUUUGCAUCUCCUACCUUAAACUAUCAGCAGACUCUGAACCCUGUUGUGCUGUGAAGUGCAGUGUCAGUAAGGGUUUGAUUUUACGCUAUAUUUUCAUCAAUAAGAAUUCUGUAGUUUUGUUAUACGUCAUGCACAAAUAAGACACAAAUACUUCAGUUAAUUUUGCCCAAAGGCUUCAUCAUCGCACAGGCUGAUGGAGCUGAAGUCCAUAAGUGUUACUGGAAUAAACGGUUCAGCGGCACAUACUUAAACACAGUAAUAUAUACGAGAGUAGUGGUAAAUGGAAAAGCCCUCCGUGACAUUUCUGUGGAGGGAAAGUGCGCCCUACGUUGUGAGUAUAUAUCAUGGCACAGAAAACAACAAAAGGCAGAAUCUAAGUGUACACACAAAAUACUUUAAAGUCAGCUGCUGGUAUUGUGCCGGUUCCCAGAAUCUCACAUAUCUCUCACAGAAAGCAACAAUGAGUGUACUGCUCCUUCAACCAGUUCAUAGUUUGAAUGUAGCAUCGGCUGCAAAUGCAUGCCAAGGUUGCAGAAGCUUCCACAGCUCAGGUAGACCUGCUGUUUGAUUCACCGAACAUCUGAUCACUUAUAAACGAACAGCAACCAUCUCCAUGCUGAAGCUACUUCCUUUAUGACUUGAAAGGAAAGAUCUGAAUUAGAUUUCAUUAGUCUUUUGCUCUUUGUCUAAAAAAAGAAAUUUAAACUGCAGACUACUCUUGGCUUUAAUACAGUCUAUGCCAGGGGUGUCGAACUCCAGGCCUCGAGGGCCGGGGUCCUGCAGGUUUUAGAUCUCACCCUGGGUCAACACACCUGAAUCACAUGAUUACUUCAUUAGCAGGCAUCUGGAGAACUUCAGGACAUGUUGAGGAGGUCAUUUAGCCGUUUGAAUCAGCUGUGUUGGAUCAAGGAGACAUCUGAAAGCUGCAGGACACCGGCCCUCGAGGCCUGGAGUUCAACACCUGUGGUCUAUGCUGUAGUGUGCGUGUCUUGAGUAGCUAUAGCUCACCAGUGGUGUUUGCUACUAGCUCGGAUCUCCUGCAGGCGACACAAACAUUCACAUUAGCUCCCUGUUCCACUGAGUGAGCCGGUACGGUGUCCUGGAUACAAGCUCAAAGUCACAGGUCAGUACCAUCACAGAGUCUAAACCAGGGGUGGGGACCUCCAGGCCUUGAGAGCUGGUGUCCUGCAGGUUUUAGAUCUCACCCUGGGUCAGCACACCUGAGUCAGAUGAUUGGUUCAUUACCAGCCUCUGAAGAACUUCAAGACAUGUUGAGGUCAUUUAAAUCAGCUGUGUUGGAACAAAGGUUAAAGUCAAGCAAAUGUACAUGGCCAAGCUUCAAUUGAGUUCAAACUGAGCGGGGCCAUACGGCAGAUUUAAAUUUGCCCCCCACACAAUGAACACGGAGGCACACUAAAACUGGCCAGUGGAUGCAGGCGCAAACUGUCGGUGGUGCUGUUCAGUAAGACUUCUGUUCAGAGUUUAUUCCUGCUCCUCGCUGUGUUUAAGAGACCCAAAGAUAUUUCUGCUUCACCUAAAGUGUCUCAGUGAGGCUCUCUUCAUAAGUGCUGCAUCUGUCCUCUCUAAGAUUUGCUGUUCUACUCACCAACACAACGCACUGGAGGCAAUCGGCUGGUCUCAAAUCAAGUGACUGUCUCAUGGGAAGAGUAGUCCCACAAACAAGAAGAAAACAGAAACGGGUACCUGCUGGCGAUUUCCCCUUUCACUUAAGCAUUCUCUGAACAUUCAUGAGCUCUUCUGGUGUAGAUUACAACAGUUAUCAGUGAGAUCAACUGAACACAGAUGCAGAUCUGUAGUGCUGGACAUAAAGUGCCACAAGUAUCAUUUCUCUGAAUAUGAAAUUAAUGUGCAAUACAAUUCUUAAGUUACGCUGCAGAACACACGCUGCAGUCCACAGUCUCAGUCCCACCGCUGUGACGUCAGAGGGCUGGAGGUGGUGUGAUACAGCUGGAGUACUGGUGGUGCCAGCAAAUUCUCUCCACCUGUGGAAGACACACACCAAAUAAACAGACGAUCAGGAGACUACAGCGAUCACUGCACGUGUGUGCAUGCUGCCUGGUAUAGCUCAACAAUUAGAGUUAACUGUAACACGGUGGUUGUUGCCUCUGUUUUAAAACUACCAAAAACUAAACUCUGUUCAAGAGCACAGGUUUAAUAAAAU
ensembl:lncRNA